CGGCGUUGCUGGCGCUGCUGGCGCCGGUGCUGCUGCUGCUGGCGGUGGCGGUGCGCGUCGGGCUCGGCGCGCCUGUCCUGUUCCGCCAGGUGCGCGCCGG
rnacentral:tRNA from 1 species